GUGGCGGAGCGUCGUUUGCGACGCCCAACACACAAAACAAGCGGUGAGUGCUUUGGGGUGGGGUGACUGCGUACCUUUUGUAUAAUGGGUCAGCGACUUAUAUUCUGUAGCAAGGUUAACCGUAUAGGGGAGCCGAAGGGAAACCGAGUCUUAACUGGGCGUUAAGUUGCAGGGUAUAGACCCGAAACCCGGUGAUCUAGCCAUGGGCAGGUUGAAGGUUGGGUAACACUAACUGGAGGACCGAACCGACUAAUGUUGAAAAAUUAGCGGAUGACUUGUGGCUGGGGGUGAAAGGCCAAUCAAACCGGGAGAUAGCUGGUUCUCCCCGAAAGCUAUUUAGGUAGCGCCUCGUGAACUCAUCUUCGGGGGUAGAGCACUGUUUCGGCUAGGGGGUCAUCCCGACUUACCAACCCGAUGCAAACUGCGAAUACCGAAGAAUGUUAUCACGGGAGACACACGGCGGGUGCUAACGUCCGUCGUGAAGAGGGAAACAACCCAGACCGCCAGCUAAGGUCCCAAAGUCACAGUUAAGUGGGAAACGAUGUGGGAAGGCUCAGACAGCCAGGAUGUUGGCUUAGAAGCAGCCAUCAUUUAAAGAAAGCGUAAUAGCUCACUGGUCGAGUCGGCCUGCGCGGAAGAUGUAACGGGGCUAAACUGUGCACCGAAGCUGCGGCAGCGACGCUUAUGCGUUGUUGGGUAGGGGAGCGUUCUGUAAGCCUGCGAAGGUGUCCUGUGAGGGAUGCUGGAGGUAUCAGAAGUGCGAAUGCUGACAUAAGUAACGAUAAUGCGGGUGAAAAGCCCGCUCGCCGGAAGACCAAGGGUUCCUGUCCAACGUUAAUCGGGGCAGGGUGAGUCGACCCCUAAGGCGAGGCCGAAAGGCGUAGUCGAUGGGAAACGGGUUAAUAUUCCCGUACUUGGUGUUACUGCGAAGGGGGGACGGAGAAGGCUAUGUUGGCCGGGCGACGGUUGUCCCGGUUUAAGCGUGUAGGCUGGUUUUCCA
rnacentral:rRNA from 1 species